rnacentral:lncRNA from 1 species
AUGAUCUCCUUCUAUCUCUGAUUCCUUACCUGCCUCUAUACGUAAAUUCUCAAAGCCAACAAGGGUCCAGGUGGAAGUGUCGCUUUGGUAUGUUUCCGUGUACAGCGGCCUUUCUUUUACACAACUUUUAAUACUUUUUUUUUCCGUGUACUGCUGACGACUGAAUCCAGGGCCUUGUACAUGCUCAGGAGAUGCUCCACCACUGAGCUGUACCUGCAGCCCUCAGGAUUUAAGUAUGUACAGAUGAGUAUUUUAUAUUAAACAAUCUACUCAUUAUUUUAAUAUUUUAUGUCUCCCCUAGUCUUAGUUCCUUCAUUCUUUGACUUACCCCAUUGGUUUGUCAUUUUAGAAAUUGCUCUAGGAACAUUAAUUAGACCCUUCCAUCUGAGCAAAAUGUUAGAAUUAAACAGGCAUUCAACACUUAACCGACUUCUUUUAGCUCAUCACAGUAGUUGUAUGUGUUUAAAUGUAUUUGCAAGAAAAAUAAGACUCCAAGGGAAGCUUCGAAUAUCUUCUUGUACCUAGUGAGCCUGCUCAGUGCCCACUACACUGGUUUACAAAUGCCAUUGCCUUCAAAAGGACGAAAUGAACAAUGGCAUGUUUGGAGUAGGAGGAGAACGUAAGUGCACCUAUAGGAUAUUUUUAUUAUAAGACAUCAUUUUAGGGUUAUCGAUAUGAGUAGACACAGGGACUAGCUUGAAGGUCCAUCCUUUGAUCAAACUUAAGGCACUUCAAACCUCAAAAUACCCAUGACAGGGUUGGAUAUAAUAUUUUCUAAAGGUUAAGGGAGAAAAGCUUUUUAUAACAUUUGAAGAAAAGCAUCUUUUAAAUAUAUACAAAGCAAUAAAUGAAAGCCAUUUAACAACUGUCAUCAUUAAAUCUAGCAAAUGUUGAUUGACAGUAAAACCUACUGCAUGAAAGACAGUUAAGGAACAUUGCAUAAUCCCACAAGAGUACAGCGAGGAGAUGCAAAAGAAGCCCUGGCUUUCAUACUGAGAUCUGCAGGCAGAAGUCCCCUCAUCACAGCGGCCACUGUGGCUUCCCUGAGGCCGUAGAAGCAUAUUUUAUUAUUUAUGAUAUCCUGCCAAACCAGUUAGUAAAUGUCUAUGGAAAUGCCUUCUCUAGACUUAUCUUCCUGCUUACAAAGAAAUAAGAGUAACAUGGUAGAUUAUAUGGCAAUAGACAGAUCUAGAGUUUGAGACAUCAGAAAUGAUCAUUAAGCUGUACUUUUCAAAUAGCUAAUAUGUUAGAACAGAAAGAUGCCUGAGACAGCCACGUGCAAAGUGUGAGCUUUUAUUGAGAAAUAAAAUCAGAAGGAACUAUAAGACAUUUGGGGGAUAUUUAGGGAAAUACACAGGUAAAAAUAGGUGUUAGAUACUGUGGUAUGCUUCCUUAGACUAGGUAAAGUAUUGACUUUAUAUUUCCCUAUCAUAUGCAUGCAAAAGUUUUAAGUUGACAAAUCAUAAUGUCUGCAGCAUAUUUUAAAUUGAAACUGUAGGAUCCAUCAGUGGUUGUUGAAUUGUUGUGACCACCCUUUAAACUUGUCUGUACCUAUGUUUCAAUGUAAUAAAAGCUGAGGCAAAAGUGAUUUGU